GCUUGUCUCAAAGAUUAAGCCAUGCACGUCUAAGUAUAAGCGAUUAUACUGUGAAACUGCGAAUGGCUCAUUAUAUCAGUUAUAGUUUAUUUGAUGGUCCUUGCUACUUGGAUAACCGUAGUAAUUCUAGAGCUAAUACAUGCAUAAAUCCCCGACUGCUUGGAAGGGGUGUAUUUAUUAGAUGGAAACCAAUUCGGGGUAACCCGGUUUAUGGUGAUUCAUAAUAACUUUCGGAUCGACGCAAGUCGAUGCAUCAUUCAAGUUUCUGCCCUAUCAGUUGUGGAUGGUAGGGUAUUGGCCUACCAUGACUUUAACGGGUAACGAAGAAUUAGGGUUCGAUUUCGGAGAGGGAGCAUGAGAAACGGCUACCACAUCUAAGGAAGGCAGCAGG
rnacentral:rRNA from 1 species